rnacentral:tRNA from 1 species
GGCCGGUGUUCGCCGAUUGGUAAAGGCCAAGCUAACGCUGGUGGAUGCAGGUUCGAUUCCUGCCACCGGCCA